rnacentral:rRNA from 1 species
CCGGCGACCGGCGCACGGGUGAGUAACACGUAUGCAACCUGCCCUCUUCAGGGGGACAACCCUCCGAAAGGGAGGCUAAUCCCGCGUAUAUCGGUUUCGGGCAUCCGAGAUCGAGGAAAGAUUCAUCGGAAGAGGAUGGGCAUGCGGCGCAUUAGCUAGACGGCGGGGUAACGGCCCACCGUGGCGACGAUGCGUAGGGGUUCUGAGAGGAAGGUCCCCCACACUGGCACUGAGACACGGACCAGACUCCUACGGGAGGCAGCAG